GCCUAAAUACAUGCAAAGUCGAGCGAGCUUGCCAUUUGAAAUUCUUCGGGAAAUGGGACAUAGAUACAAGCUAGCGGCGGAUGGGUGGAGUAAACGCGUGGGUAAACCCUGCCCUUAAAGUCUGGGAUACCAUUUGGAAAACAGAUGCUAAUACCGGAUAAAAAGCUACUUUCGCAUGAAAGAAGUUUAAAAAAGGCGGCGUAAAGCUGUCGCUAAAGGAUGGACCUGCGAUGCAUUAGCUAGUUGGUAAGGUAACGGCUUACCAAGGCGAUGAUGCAUAGCCGAGUUGAGAGACUGAUCGGCCACAUUGGGACUGAGACACGGCCCAAACUCCUACGGGAGGCAGCAGUAGGGAAUCUUCCACAAUGGACGCAAGUCUGAUGGAGCAACGCCGCGUGAGUGAAGAAGGUUUUCGGAUCGUAAAGCUCUGUUGUUGGUGAAGAAGGAUAGAGGUAGUAACUGGCCUUUAUUUGACGGUAAUCAACCAGAAAGUCACGGCUAACUACGUGCCAGCAGCCGCGGUAAAU
rnacentral:rRNA from 1 species